rnacentral:rRNA from 1 species
GAUGAACGCUAGCGGCAGGCCUAAUACAUGCAAGUCGAACGGUGUCUUCGGACAUAGUGGCGCACGGGUGCGUAACACGUAUGCAACCUACCUUACAUUGGGGGAUAGCCUUUCGAAAGGGAGAUUAAUACCGCAUAAGACAGUGGCUGGGCAUCCAGCAGCUGUUAAAGAUUUAUCGAUGUAAGCUGGGCAUGCGGCCAAUUAGCUAGUUGGUGAGGUAACGGCUCACCAAGGCAAUGAUUGGUAGGGGAACUGAGAGGUCAAUCCCCCACACUGGCACUAAGAUACGGGCCAGACUCCUACGGGAGGCAGCAGUAGGGAAUAUUGGGCAAUGGACGCAAGUCUGACCCAGCCAUGCCGCGUGCAGGAUGAAGGCGUUAUGCGUUGUAAACUGCUUUUAUACAGGAAGAAACGACUCUUGCGAGAGGCAUUGACGGUACUGUAUGAAUAAGCACCGGCUAACUCCGUGCCAGCAGCCGCCGUAAGAC